UACGUAGGGCGCAAGCGUUAUCCGGAAUUAUUGGGCGUAAAGAGCUCGUAGGUGGUUUGUCACGUUGUUCGUGAAAACUCACAGCUCAACUGUGGGCGUGCGGGCGAUACGGGCAGACUUGAGUACUGCAGGGGAGACUGGAAUUCCUGGUGUAGCGGUGGAAUGCGCAGAUAUCAGGAGGAACACCGGUGGCGAAGGCGGGUCUCUGGGCAGUAACUGACGCUGAGGAGCGAAAGCGUGGGGAGCGAACAGG
rnacentral:rRNA from 1 species